rnacentral:rRNA from 1 species
GUAGUCAUAUGCUUGUCUCAAAGCUUAAGCCAUGCAUGUCUCAGUGCAAACUAAAUUAAAGUAAAACCGCAAAAUGCUCAUUAAACUAGUUAUAAUUUACUAGAAAAAUUUUUUUUUUGGAUAACUGUGGUAAUUCUAGAGCUAAUACAUUAAAUCAAAGUUUUGCCUAUUGGUUUAGGAAAAACGAAUUUUAUUAGGUCAAAACCAAUCGAAUGGUAUUUAUUAUCAUUCGAAAAAAUUGAUGACUCUGAAUAAUACCACAGAUCGCAUAGUCUAGGAACUGGCGACAUAUCUUUCAAAUGCCUAACUUAUCAACUGUCGAUGGUGGAUUAUAUGUCUACCAUGGUUGUAACGGGUAACGGGGAAUCAGGGUUCGAUUCCGGAGAGGGAGCCUGAGAAACAGCUACCACAUCCAAGGAAGGACUCCCAGAACGGGGAGGUAGUGACAAAAAAUAACGGUACGGGACUCAUCCGAGGCCCCGUAACUGGAAUGAAUACACUUUAAAUCCUUUAAUAAAGAUCUAUCGGAGGGCCAGUCUGGUGCCAGCAGCUGCGGUAAUACCAGCUCUGAUAGCGUAUAUUAAAGUUGUUGCGUUUAAAAAGCUCGUAGUUGGUUCUGUGUGCCAUGCUGUUGGUUCUCCGCCUGCCGGUGUAACUGACAUGUCAUGGGACGUCCUAUUGGUGGUAACUUCAAAGGGGGCCUAAAAGUUUGGAAUUGGACAAUUAACUUUGUUUCAACCAAAUGUUUUAGGACUACCCUUUAGUUACCGAAUCUCUAAAUCCCGCCGCGGUGCUCUUUACUGAGUGUCGAGGUGGGCCGAUACGUUUACUUUGAACAAAUUAGAGUGCUCAAAGCAGGCAAAAAAUUGCCUUUGAAUAGUGGUGCAUGGAAUAAUAGAAUAUGACCAUUGGUUCUAUUUUGUUGGUUUAUUGAAUCCAAGGUAAUGAUCAAUAUGGACAGGCGGGGGCAUUCGUAUUGCGACGUUAGAGGUGAAAUUCUUGGAUCGUCGCAGGACGAACUAGAGCGAAAGCAUUUGCCAAGUAUGUCUUAAUUGAUCAAGAACGAAAGUUAGAGGCUCAAAGGCGAUCAGAUACCGCCCUAGUUCUAACCAUAAACGAUGCCAGCCAGCGAUCCGUCGAUGUUUAUUUCAUGACUCGACGGGCAGCUUCCGGGAAACCAAAGCUUUUGGGUUCCGGGGGAAGUAUGGUUGCAAAGCUGAAACUUAAAGGAAUUGACGGAAGGGAACCACAAGGAGUGGGGCCUGCGGCUCAAUUUGACUCAACACAGGAAAUUUUACCAAGUCCAGACAUUGGAAGGAUUGACAGAUUGAUUGCUCUUUCUUGAUUCAGUGGGUAGUGGUGCGUUGGUGGAUUAAUUUGUCAAGUUAAUUCUGAUAACGAACGAGACUCUGGCUUAUUAACUAGGCGUUUGGUAUUUUUGCUACCUUCGUCUUUUUUCUUCUUAGAAGGACAGGUGGCUAUUAGCCACACGAGAUUGAGCAAUAACAGGUCUGCAUGCCCUUAGAUGUCUUGGGCCGCACGCGCGCCACACUGAAGGAAUCAGCGUGUUUUUCCCUGUUCAAAAGGACCGGGUAACCCGUUGAACCUCCUUCGUGCUAGGAAUUGGGGCUUGCAAUUCUUCCCCAUAAACGAGGAAUUUCCAGUAAGCGCGAGUCAUAAGCUCGCGCUGAUUACGUCCCUGCCCUUUGUGCACACCGCCCGUCGCUACUACCGAUUGAAUGAUUUAGUGAGGUCUUCAGACUGGUAAUAAUGGUCCUUGCCUUGUGCUUGGAUUAAAUUUACCGGAAAGAUGACCAAACUUGAUCAUUUAGAGGAAGUAAAAGUCGUAACAAGG